rnacentral:rRNA from 1 species
UACGUAGGCAGCAAGCGUUGUUCGGAGUUACUGGGCGUAAAGGGUGCGUAGGUGGCUCUAUAAGUAUGGUGUGAAAUCUCCCGGCUUAACUGGGAGGGUGCGCCGUAGACUGUGGGGCUAGAGUGUGGGGAGAGGAAAGUGGAAUUCCUGGUGUAGCGGUGAAAUGCGUAGAUAUCAGGAGGAACACCGGUGGUGUAAACGGCUUUCUGGACCAUAACUGACACUGAGGCACGAAAGCGUGGGUAGCAAACAGG